rnacentral:rRNA from 1 species
AGAUUGAACGCUGGCGGUAUGCUUAACACAUGCAAGUCGAACGGCAGCACAGGGUAGCUUGCUAUCCGGGUGGCGAGUGGCGGACGGGUGAGUAACGCGUAGGAAUCUACCUUUUCGUGGGGGAUAACCCGGGGAAACUCGGGCUAAUACCGCAUACGCCCUACGGGGGAAAGCGGGGGACCUUCGGGCCUCGCGCGGAACGAUGAGCCUGCGUCCUAUCAGGUAGUUGGUGAGGUAAUGGCUCACCAAGCCGACGACGGGUAGCUGGUCUGAGAGGACGACCAGCCACACGUGGGACUGAGACCGACCGGCCCAGACCUCCGUACGGGAGGCAGCGUAGGUGGGAAUAGUUAGGACUAAGGUCGGGGGAAACCCUGACUCCGAAGACAACGUACCGCGUGUAGGUAGAAGGACGG